UACGAAGGGGCUAGCGUUGCUCGGAAUUACUGGGCGUAAAGCGCACGUAGGCGGAUUGUUAAGUCGGGGGUGAAAUCCUGGAGCUCAACUCCAGAACUGCCUCGAUACUGGCGAUCUCGAGUCGGGAGAGGUGAGUGGAACUGCGGAGUGUAGAGGUGAAAUUCGUAGAUAUUCGCAAGAACACCAGUGGCGAAGGCGGCUCACUGGCCCGAUACUGACGCUGAGGUGCGAAAGCGUGGGGAGCAAACAGG
rnacentral:rRNA from 1 species